GGGGAAUAUUGCGCAAUGGGGGCAACCCUGACGCAGCAACGCCGCGUGAAGGAAGAAGGCCUUCGGGUUGUAAACUUCUUUGAUCGGGGACGAAAAUGACGGUACCCGAGGAACAAGCCACGGCUAACUACGUGCCAGCAGCCGCGGUAAUACGUAGGUGGCAAGCGUUGUCCGGAAUUACUGGGCGUAAAGGGCGUGUAGGCGGGGAGGCAAGUCAGAUGUGAAAUUCCGGGGCUUAACCCCGGCGCUGCAUCUGAAACUGUUUCUCUUGAGUGCUGGAGAGGAAAGUGGAAUUCCCAGUGUAGCGGUGAAAUGCGUAGAGAUUGGGAGGAACACCAGUGGCGAAGGCGGCUUUCUGGACAGUAACUGACGCUGAGGCGCGAAAGCGUGGGGAGCAAAC
rnacentral:rRNA from 1 species